ACGGAGGGUGCAAGCGUUAUCCGGAUUCACUGGGUUUAAAGGGUGCGUAGGUGGGUCUGUAAGUCAGUGGUGAAAUCCCCGAGCUUAACUUGGGAACUGCCGUUGAUACUAUAGAUCUUGAAUAUCGUGGAGGUAAGCGGAAUAUGUCAUGUAGCGGUGAAAUGCUUAGAUAUGACAUAGAACACCAAUUGCGAAGGCAGCUUACUACACGAUCAUUGACACUGAGGCACGAAAGCGUGGGGAGCAAACAGGA
rnacentral:rRNA from 1 species